rnacentral:rRNA from 1 species
UACGAAGGGGGCUAGCGUUGUUCGGAAUUACGGGGCGUAAAGCGCACGUAGGCGGCUCUGUAAGUUGGGGGUGAAAUCCCGAGGCUCAACCUCGGAAUUGCCUUCAAGCCUGCAGGGCUUGAGGUCGGGAGAGGUGAGUGGAAUUCCCAGUGUAGAGGUGAGAUUCGUAGAGAUUGGGAAGAACACCAGUGGAGAACGCGGCUCACUUGCCCGUAGGUGACGCCGAGCUGCGUAAGCGUGGGUGGCAACUAGG